CCUACGGGUGGCAGCAGUGGGGGAUAUUGCACAAUGGGGGGAACCCUUAUUCAUCUACUCCUCUUUUUUUACUUAUCUUUCCUUCUCUUACCACCCUAUCGGCAGGGAAGAAGAUGACGGUACCUGACCAAGAAGCCCCGGCUAACUACGUGCCAGCAGCCGCGGUAAUACGUAGGGGGCAAGCGUUAUCCGGAUUUACUGGGUGUAAAGGGGGCGCAGACGGCAAUGCAAGCCAGGAGGGAAAGCCCGGGGCCCAACCCCGGGACUGCUCUUGGAACUGCAUGGCUGGAGUACAGGAGGGGCAGGCGGAAUGCCUGGUGUAGCGGUGAAAUGCGUAGAUAUUAGGAGGAACACCGGUGGCGAAGGCGGCCUGCUGGACUGUGACUGACGUUGAGGCCCGAAGGCGUGGGGAGCAAACAGGAUUAGAUACCCCUGUAGUC
rnacentral:rRNA from 1 species